UGUUGUACUUGCAUAAACCUUUUCUCUUUCUCUCUAUCUGCAUUCUCUCUAUUCCCAAACCCUACCUUGGUCUUCUUCUCUCUCAUCUCUCUCACGGGUUUUCUUCUUUCUCCUUCCUUUCCUUUCAAACCCUAGCACAACCAUCCCUUUCUCCACCCCAUAUACAACCCAUUUCUCUGCGCCGCUGAAACUACGGUGUUGAACAUAUAGCCAUGCCAAUCUUUGUCUCCGAUGUUAUGAUAUCUUAGAAACUCUUCUUCCAUUUCAAUCUCUCAUUCACUUCUCAUUUUAUUCAGAGUUGGAUAAAUAUUCGUUUGUGUUUGAUUUCAUUUUUUGUUUUCACUCCUUCAUAUUCUUAGAUCUACAAUGUUAUGAUUUCAUUUUUCGUUUACUUCUUCUCAUUUGUGGUGUUUUUUUUUGUUAGGGGUUUUGAUUUCAGAAUAAAGAAACAAGAAUAGCCUGGUUGAGCAUCUAGAUCCAUAUAUGCAAAAUCCUGUCAUCACAGUCGAGUAGCUCUAAAGGUCCUAAUUGGCAUCACAGUCCAAAUCAAGCAAACUUCAGAAGAUGCUGGGAUGCUGCUAAUGGCUGCAGUUAUAGAUCAUUGAGCCGAGUUAUAGCCGAGUUAACACUGAGGAACACUAUAAGUUCCCGCGCUUGGGGGUGCUGCUAAUGGCUGCAGUUAUAGAUCAUUGAGCCAAAUCAGAUGCCUGGUAUGUGGGAGUAUGAGCUUCACAAUGUUAUACGAAUGAGCUUUGCAACAACUGCUCUCACGAGUAACCAAGACGUGGAUGGUUGAUUCAUUGAUUGGUAAAGGGAAGGGAAGACCACACUGCCAUCUCUGCGGUAGGAAUGGGAGGGCAAGCAGGAGUAGAUGGAGAUAUUUGCUUUGAGCCGAAGACAUGUAUUAUUUUAAGCUGUGUUACACUUUGUUACACAAAAGAUUUUUCUGGCAGCUAUUGUACAACACUAUUAGAUUGUUGUUGCGGUAGGGGAGUUUAAGAGAUAUAUGUUUGAUAUAUAUGAUUGAAAGACCAUUGUACAUUCUAUAUAUGAUUGUACAUGUAUAUUAGCAAAUUAGUCUUUAAGGUUCUUAUUAAAAUAAGUUGGAAAGACACUAUUGUAACUUUGCAAGUCCAAUUACGAUUUAAUUUCUAAUAUUAAGAAUUGCAUGCAAUAAAGUAAACACCCCUGCACUUACCAAGAAAGUGUUACAUAUAUGAUUAGACUAAAAUAAUCUUGACGGUUGUGUAAUGUGAUGUAAAAUGCUUUUGAUUAACUUCCAAAUUCUAAGUAGGAUUUAGUCAAUUUAAUGUUAACACGUAGAUUUGUAGAUCAAUGGGAAUCUAUAAUUGUUGGAAUAUCACUCUUUCUAUUAGAUAUAUUAUUAUUAUUAUACAAAAUUAGUCUUUUUUAUUGAAUUUUGAAUUUCUGACAGUUGAGAAUUAACAAUUCGAUAUAUGUU